rnacentral:lncRNA from 1 species
GCACCUGGCUAUGGAAGGUAAAAGAAAAUUGCAACAAAAGGUCCUAACAAUCCAAUAGGAUUAUAGAGAAUUUAUAAUUAAACAUUAACCAUUAUAAUCAAACAUUAAGAAAGCUCAAUUAAAUUUUAUUAAAGUUAUAAAAGAAACACAAGGAAAUCUUAAAGAAAUAUAAAAGAAUAUUAAAGAAAACUUAGUCAAACCCUAACAAAAAUCUAAUUGAACCUUAAAUUCUAACCAAAUCCUAAUCCUAAUCUAACCUUAAACAAAUCCUAGACAAACCCUAAAUCCUAAACCAAAUCCUAAUCAAAUCUUAAUCAAAUUCUAAACCUUAAACCAAUUCCUAAUCAAAUCUUAAAUCAAACCUUAAAUCCUAAUCCAAAUCCUAAAUCCUAAAUCAAAUCCUAAAUGAAAUUCUAAAUCCUAAAUCCUAAACCAAAUCCUAUACCAUACCUUAAUCCUAAAAAAUCCUAAAUCAAAUCCUAAACCACAUCCUAACCCUAACAAAUUCUAAAUCCUAAAUCCUAAACCAAAUCCUAAUCCUAAAUCCUAAUCAAAUCCUACUUCAAACCAAACCCUAAUUACAGAUUUGAAAAUUAAAUAACUAAAGAUUGAACCGUUGAUUCUAAUUCAAAAUUUGCACACUUCUUGGAAUUUAAGUUAAAAACCAGCAUAAAAAUUUUGAAGAAAAUCGCACUUACCAAUUAGUCGAUGACCUCAAAAUUCUGCUCGGAUGUUGGCUAGUCUCUCUUUCUCCAAUCUUGAUGCCAACUUCCAACACUGAUAUCUCUUUUUUCCACUAUUUAAUUGCUUCUAUCUUAUACUUGCAUAUAGAAAAUCAAGUCUUCUAGUGAUAAAACCAAAAAUCUCUCCAAUCCAAAUGGCAAAUUAUUAGAUAUCUAAGAAAACUUUACUCGUCUUCAAAACCCUAAAUUCCGAGACCUUAGCCCAUAAAAAUCUUCAUAUGUAUCGAUCUAACCAUUUGAUUGACCUCAAAUCUCUUUCACACAUUCACAACAAGCAUACUAAUAAUUUUUUAAACUUUCACUUGUAAAAAUGCUACAAAAGAUAUGAAAUCCAAACAUUUGUAAACUGGUUUUAUUUCUCAAAGAUCUGAAUUCAUAGAGAACAUCACUUGCUUUGAAAAUCCUUCAAAAAUCCAAUACUGAUCCAAAUGAUACAAAAUUACCUUUCAAAAAUCCCUUCACAAGUCUUCUCUCUAAUUCCACUCUCCGAUCUUCCAAAGAACCCUUGAAUCGCCGUCAGAGCGUGGUUUUGUGCCUCAGGGUCUGAUUUCGACCCAGGUUCAUAACCGGUCCUCUUCAAGUAUCAACUUUCGUCUUCUUGAGGUAAUUUUUACUAAUUUGCACUCCUAACUCCUCUCUACAUAUGUCUAUAUCCUUUAUUUUUCUAAUCUACCUUGUUUUGUCUUAUUUAUGACCUUACAAAGUAAAUGGAGGCAUAAUUUGUAAAAAGGCAACAUUAACACGUUUAAUUCUUCUACCCUUUGACUAAUAUCUAUUUUUCCAAGAUAAUUUGCUACAAUAUUUUUGAAGUGAGAUCCUCAAAAUUUGAUAUUUUCUUCACCCUUUCACUUGUUAGCUGUGUUAUAUCACGACAUCCACCCCCCUGAACCUGUACAUCCUCUGGUAUGUCCAAGUUCCUUCAUUAUAUUGAUAUCGAAUGUUCUUCAUCUUAGUCAAAUUCUUGAUCUUCAUUUUGUUCUUUUUCUUCCAUCUCAAUAUCUCCUAUUAGAUUUUGUUCUUCAUCAAAACAAAUAUUUUUACUUCUUUGAUUAAAUAAUUUAAUUCGCUUGCCUACUAUUGGUAUCUUUAAAUCUGUACCAUCCAGUUCUCGUAACAAGUAUGUUCUAUUCUCGUGCACUUGUUUGACAACAUAAGGUCCAAACUAUCUCCUUGCAAAUUCCUUUGCCGUACUAUAUUGGUUGUCCAAACUAUUAUCAUAAACCAACAUCCAAUCACCAUUUUGAAUUGGUUUUGGAUACAAUCGAUGCUUUUUGUCAAACCUCUCCUUGUUUUUUUCUCUCGCUUCUUUCAACUUUCUCAUAGCUACUUCAAUGUCCUCAGGCCUUCUUUCAAGUUGUUGAAUUCAUAAUGCCAAUAACUCUUCUUUUGUUAAACCAUCUUCCCAAGGUAAUAUAGUCCAUGUUGAUACAACCUCCUCUAUCGGUAUUACCAGUUUUUGACUAUACAUCAAUUCUGCUGGUAUGUAUCCUAUAACCGUACUAUGAGUUGUACGAUCUGCCCAUAAUACAAAUCGUAAUAAUUUAGGCCAAUCACUUAUCUUGCAUGUGCAUGCUUUAACCAAUGCUUUAAUAAUUGGAGAAUGUCCACGUUCACUCUUGCCAUUCCCUUCUGGAUUAUAUGCUGUUGUCAAUGCAAGUUUAAUAUCCAUCUUUUCAAAGAACUCUUGUGCUUCAUUUGCAUACAAUUCUCCUCUAUCUGCAGUGAUUUUUUCAAUACAUCUAUACCGGCAAAUAAUUUCUUUUAAUAUAAACUGACAUAUUUCUUCCGUAGUCUUUGUUUAAAGUGCUCUUCCCUCUACUUGAUUUGUCAAAUCUUCUCGAGCAAGUACUAAAUAUUUCCUCUGAUCAAAUCCUAUUGGCAUUACAACUAAAUCAACCACCCAUUUAUAAAGAAUUAUUAAUAGGUAUAUAGGAUACAAACCAUCUUAAUGAAGAAUAUUUGAAUAUAUUUGGCAAGUUUCAUAAGAUCCUACAAAAUCCGCUACAUCCCUAUACAUGCCCUUCCACCAAUAUUUUUCUUUCAACUUAAUAAAUGUUGUCCAAAUACCUCGAUGCCGUGCCCAUAAACUUUCAUGAAAUUUCUUAAUAAUCUUUUGUUGAGCUUCUAAACCACAUAUCACUUGUUGUGGUACUUCUCCUCUCUUCUUUGGAUGCUUCCAUAAAUAUCCAUCACGUAAAAAAUAUCCAUAGGCUUUCUUUUAGAUUUUUUUAAAUUCUUGAUCUGUCCAACCAUCUUGUCACUUUAAUGUGCUUAAAUAUUCUCCAAUGUCUUUCCAUUCUUCUUCAUAUAGAUCUCUUGAAAAUAUUUCUAAUAGUAUAUUCAAACAUAUACUUUCUUCCUUUCAUAAUGCAUUAAUAUAAAAAUUUGUACCCACAUCAUCUUCUAAAUCUAUCAUAUCUUCUUCAUCGUAAUACCUUGCUCUUGAUAACAUAUCUGUGACUGAAUUUUCUUUUCCUAUAAUAUGUUUAAAUUCCAAAUUUAUAGAUUUGAUAUAUGCCAUCCACAUUAACAUAGCAAUAUCGAGAGUUGAAUAACUUGUAAUCAUACCCAAUAAAGGUAGACAAUCUGUUUCUACAACUACUGAUGCACUAAUCAAAUACUCCCUUUUAUUUUUCAUAGCUAUUACUACACCUCAUAAUUUUCUUUUGAUUUGAGCAUAUAUCCUUUGUCUAGCAUUCAAAACCUUUGCUCCAAACCUUACUACAUAUCUAUUCCCUUGUUCAUCAUCUUGUCCAACUGCCCAACCUAUUCCAAUUGGACUUGCAUCAACUGUUAAUAUUAUUGGCCUUCCACAUUCAUAAUUUAUUUUCUUCAAAGUUGGAGGUGAAGAAAGAAAUUCUUUUAAAUUUUCCAUAGCUUUUCUUUGUUCUUCUUUUCAUUGAAAUUUUUGAUUCUUUCAUAACAACUCAUAUAAUGGAUCUGCUAUAUGUGCAAAAUAAGGUAUCCAUAUAUGAUAGAAAAUACAUGCUCCUAAAAACCUCUUGACUUCUGUUGUAUUUGCACACUCUUUCAUUUUUUUUAUAAUAUCAACUUUUUCUCUACUUAGUUUGCAUCCAUAUGAAACACACAUGUGUCCUACUACCAAAACUUCUUUUACUCCAAAUAUUAAUUUUAUUCCUGAUAAGGUUAAAUGAACUUCUUCUAGCCUUGUCAAAAUCUUCUCACAAUCAUCAAUAUGAUUUGCCACAAACUUUCUACAUCCCUUUGAAUCCAAUGUCUCAUCCUUUCUUUCUUCUUGACAUUCCUUAAUUGGCACAUCAUCUAGAAAAGGCAUUGUUAUUCUUGAAAUAAAAUCUCUUAGUACCUUAUGCAUUCCAUUCAUCAUAUGUGCCAUAGAAUUUGUAGCCCCUUAUGGUAAUGUACACAUUCUGACCAAUCCCAAUGGUGUCUUCAUAGUUGUCAAAUCUCUACUUUGCAUUGCCAAUUGAAAUUGAUCGUAUCCUGAGUAAAGAUCUCACAUAGAAUAAAUUGAUCUCUCUACAAAUGCUUCUGCAAACUCAUCCACAAUUGGACUCGAGUCCAUGUUUCUAAUAGUGAUUUCAUAUCUUAAAUAAACCUCAAUGUUUGUUUUUUCUUAGGUACUGUGAACCACCAAUUGGAAUAUGGUACAAUAGAUGGUUUUAAAAUUCCCAUCUUAAUUUUUUCAUUGAGUAAUUCAACUAGCUUUGGCAAAUGGGCCUUUGAAACUAGAAUUGGCUUCAAAUUCUAUGGUUCAUGUGAAAUUAUAAAAAUAACCAUAGGUGCUACAAUACGCGGAUCAAUGCACUGUAUUUUAUGUGAUUCAAAUGCAAAUGGUUUACCAUGUCGUAAAAAUAUUUCUUUAAAACAUCUCUCUUCAUUUCUUGUCAAAAAUUUAUCACAUCUAAUUUUUAAACCAUCUAACGUCAAAUUAUCCUUGAAUUCAUGACCUAUUUUCCUUGGAUCUCUUAAGUUAAGUUGCAUAGAAGCCCCUUUAAUCCUUUCUUCAAAAUCCGAUGGUAGUGGCAAUGCCACUGAUUUAACCUUCCUUGUAAUAAUCUUGUAUUUUGUAUUCACCUUCACUUCAUACCUAUCCAUAUAUUCUUUUAUUCUAUCACAAAAUUGCUUAGAAUGGACAUUUAUUACUUUAUCACCUCUUUCAAAAUCUCCAUUCAAUAAUAUUUAUAAAUCAUCCAUAGUAUCACCAAAAUAAGAUUCUUCAAAUAUCCCUGAUAUGUAUUCAUCUUCAUCAAUCAUUCUACAUUUCUUUAAUCCCUGUUCUACAUUCUUAACAUUUUUCUUAUCUAUUAUACUAAAAUUAUUUAUAUUUUUGAAUAAAAUAUAUCCGUCUCGCAAUAAUCCUACAAUAUCUUUAUCCUUUCUAUUAGGCGGGAAGCCUUCACUCUUUUUAUUAUUACAAUCCCGCUUUACAAUCUAGUAAAAAUGUGUCUAGUAAAAAUCCUUUGAGUCUUCAAGAUCUUCAAAUUCUUUAUGUAUCUUUGGCAAAGGAUCCCUAUUUCUUCCAUGAUUUGCACAAACUGUUAAAAAAUUGCAUUGUCUUCUUUCUGUCUUGACUUCUUAUCCUUGCAUAAGCUAAUCCAUCAUUCAUAACCUUUGUCUCCAUUCGUGUGGCAGUAAUAUAUGGUUGUCCUAAUAUAAUAGGAUAUGUAGACAUAUCUUACACAAAGAGAUUUUUUCUUUUGAAUAACAUCUCCUAUUAUCACCUUGAUAUUUGGACAAGCUCUAUACAAAUUCUCCUUUGAAUUAUUUGUUGCUCUUAUCAUCCACCCAUGCUCAAUAUCAAUAGGCCAAUUUCUCCCUUUAUAUAAUUUUGUUGACAUUAAAUUUAUUUCAGAACCAUGAUCAAUCAAUGUUACAAUUGGUUCUUCUAAAUCUCCCAAUUUUAUUAAAGUUUCUAUAGUAGCCGUUGUCCAAUGACUCUGAGAAUAAUGACUAGAAGCUUGAAUCAUAUUUUCUUUUCCUGUAAAUUUGACUCGUGAAACAUCUCCAACAAUUUGUAUUUCAAUUUCUUCAUCUUUAUUGUUACCUAUUGCCUUUAUAUCUUAUACAUUUGAUGUCAUAAUAUCACCAAUAGAUUGCCCUUUUCUUUUUAUUGUAUCAAUAAUAACUUCAUGAAAUUCUUGUUCUGCAAUUCCUAGAAUUUUACCAAUUGUAAAUUCAACCUUUCCACUUAAAAUCCGCUCCUUCAAUACUUUCUUUUAACUAUAGCAGCUUCAAUAUUUGAUUGUAAUUUAUAAGCAAGAACCUUUGCUUUUUCUUUCACAAUCUCCCUCUCCUUUGUAGAAAUAUUCUCUAUUAUCUCUUCAUGCAUAGGAUUCUUCUAUUGUCAAGUUUUAUCUCUCCUUGUGAUUCUUUUUUAUGGCCCUUCAUGAUUUUCAUCUCUCUUUUAUUUUUCUUCUAUUAAUGCUUCAUGUUGACUCCUUGUAAUAUGAGCAUGAACUGAUAAUCUAUCUACUGGAUCAUCUCACCCAGUAAUUUGCCAAAUAUUAUUGUCAACAUGUUUUAGAUCAUGUUUAGUAAAAUUUCCCUUUUUAGCAUAAUUCAUUGCACUUGACCAUAAAGAACUAGAUUCUCUUGGAUACUCAAGAUUUAUACUUAAGCAUUUGCUUGGAUUUGCCUCCAUCCAAAAUGUUGAUGCUUCAUUGCUUGAAGUUGUAUGCACCUUGAAAGCAUCUCCUUCUAUUGGUCUUAAAUUUUGUCUUAUUGAUAUUCUUGAUGAUUGAUCCAUCUCUUCAAGUUUUAUAAAUUUUAUUUGCAAAUCUCUCAUCCUUCAUAUGAUUUCAUCAAUGCCCAUUUCUUCUCUCUUUGAUGUAGCCAUUGAAGGUUGAAUCAUAGAUGUAGGAUAGAUAGCAAGCAUUUUUCCUUUAGAUACUUGCAAUGGUCUUUGAAUUUCGAUCCUAUCUUUUUUCCUUUCUCUUUUUGUAAGCACUCCAAUCACCUCUUCUACUUUCUUCCAAUUUGUUGUCAAUCCUUCAACUUCUUCUUUAUCUUCUAGCAAAAUUUUUAACUUUUCUUGUAAUUCUCCAUUAGCCGCUUGAAUAAAAAGCUCCACUUUACUUGGAUCUAAUAAUUGCCUCUCUUUCUUUAAUAAAUAAGAAUAUUACUUUUCAAACUCUUUUAAUAAUUAUGUUGCUAGUAGAUCCUUCUUAAGCCUUUCAAUUCAUUCAAAAAACGACUUCUUUGUAACUCAGUCACUAUCUUCUAAAAAAUACUCAUCUUUUAACACUUCAAAUAAUUUUUCCCAUGAACCUCCAAAAUAUCCUAUAAUAGACUUCACAUGAUUUCUUAUUUCUGGUGCAGUAGCAAUUUAAAUAGCUGAACCAUCUCCUUCUCUGAAAUACGCUUCAAUUCCAUUUCUUUUACAUAACACCUUAAAUAUUUUGUAAUAUCCUUCCCUUUAAAUUAAUCAAUCUUGUCUACAACAGCUUGUAAUGCUUUAUCUGCUAUGCCCUCUUUGCGAUCCUUAACCUGUUGUUGUUGCAUGAAUAAGGCCAAUGCCUCAAACAUGCUUGCAAAGUUGGGAUCAAAAUACAUACCUUGUCUUUCAAUUGAAGCUCCACCUCCAACUUCAUUUGAAGCACCACUAAAAGCUCCUCCUUCCAUUCUCUUGCCUUCCUUCUCCAUAACCCAAAUAGAUCAAAGAAACUCCAAAUACCUUCCAUCUCAAGUUUUUCAUGUCGGGUUCACCAAAUAUAUCGUAUUAUGUGAAGUCUUACUUGAGAAUGCACCAAACACUUGGCUGUGGAAGGUAAAAGAAAAUUGCAACAAAAGGUCCUAACAAUCCAAUAGGAUUAUAGAGAAUUUACAAUUAAACAUUAACAAUCAUAAUCAAAUAUUAAGAAAGCUCAAUUAAAUUUUAUUGAAGUUAUAAAAGAAACACAAGAAAAUCUUAAAGAAAUAUAAAAGAAUAUUAAAAAAAACUUAAUCAAAUCCUAACAAAAAUCUAAUAAAACCUUAAAUUCUAACCAAACCCUAAUCCUAAUCUAACCUUAAUCAAAUCUUAGACAAACCCUAAAUCCUAAACUAAAUCUUAAUCAAACCUUAAUCAAAUCCUAAACCAAACCCUAAAUCCUAAUCCAACCCUAAUUCAAACCCUAAUCCAAAUCUUAAACCCUAAAUCAAAUCCUAAACCAAACCCUAAAUC